GUAGGGUGCGAGCGUUGUCCGGAUUUAUUGGGCGUAAAGGGAGCGUAGGCGGCCAUUUAAGUUCGAUCUUAAAGACUGGGGCUCAACCCCAGGAAUGGAUUGAAUACUGGGUGGCUAGAGGAUGUCAGAGGAAAGUGGAAUUCCGAGUGUAGCGGUGAAAUGCGUAGAUAUUCGGAGGAACACCAGUGGCGAAGGCGACUUUCUGGGACAUUCCUGACGCUGAGGCUCGAAAGCUCGGGGAGCAGACAGGAUUAGAUACCCUGGUAGUCCGAGCCGUAAACGAUGGAUACUAGGUGUUGAGGGUAUCGACUCCUUCAGUGCCGUAGCUAACGCGUUAAGUAUCCCGCCUGGGGAGUACGGUCGCAAGACUG
rnacentral:rRNA from 1 species